rnacentral:tRNA from 1 species
GGCGGCAUAACCAGGUGGUAAGGCAGAGGUCUGAAAUAUCUUUAUUCUUGGUUCAAUUCCGGGCGCCGUCU